rnacentral:rRNA from 1 species
GGGGGGGGCGGGGGGGAGGCCGAACACGGGCGAGUCGAACGGCAGCACAGUAAGAGCUUGCUCGUACGGGUGGCGAGUGGCGGACGGGUGAGGAAUACAUCGGAAUCUACUUUUUCGUGGGGGGUAACGUAGGGAAACUUACGCUAAUACCGCAUACGACCUACGGGUGAAAGCAGGGGAUCUUCGGACCUUGCGCGAUUGAAUGCGCCGAUGUCGGAUUAGCUAGUUGGCGGGGUAAAGGCCCACCAAGGCGACGAUCCGUAGCUGGUCUGAGAGGAUGAUCAGCCACACUGGAACUGAGACACGGUCCAGACUCCUACGGGAGGCAGCAGUGGGGAAUAUUGGACAAUGGGCGCAAGCCUGAUCCAGCCAUACCGCGUGGGUGAAGAAGGCCUUCGGGUUGUAAAGCCCUUUUGUUGGGAAAGAAAAGCAGCAGGUUAAUACCCCGCUGUUCUGACGGUACCCAAAGAAUAAGCACCGGCUAACUUCGUG